ensembl:lncRNA
UGCUGUUAUGAAUGCUAUCAGAUAGUUAGCUUGUAGGCCUGCUGUUAUGAAUGCUAUCAGAUAGUUAGCUUGGAGGCCUGCUGUUAUGAAUGCUAUCAGAUAGUUAGCUUGUAGGCCUGCUGUUAUGAAUGCUAUCAGAUAGUUAGCUUGUAGGCCUGCUGUUAUGAAUGCUAUCAGAUAGUUAGCUUGUAGGCCUGCUGUUAUGAAUGCUAUCAGACAGUUAGCUUAUAGGCCUGCUGUUAUGAAUGCUAUCUGACAGUUAGCUUUGCCAGCUGCUCUUUUCUUCAGUUAUUCGGUGCAGAUGGCCUAUUAAGGCAUGUUGUUUUGAAGCAGGUUACCAUGGCUCCCCUAUAAAUGGGUCUUCCUGGUUGGAACCCUAAUGGAUCGUCAGGUCAUGUGAGGUCAUCGUCAGGUCAUGUUCUUAGUUGAACUGUACGGUUGUGGGCCCACCUUAAGCUGGACUUGGUUGGGUUUUGUAAUUCAAGAUGAAGCUGACGUAGAAGCCUUUUGGACUGGUGUGCUCUGGUGACUGGGUCCGUCCGGCCCAUGUUGGAUUGAUUACAUCACUGCGUUUCUGGUGUUCUAGAAUACAGGCUUGUCCUGGAACGGCCUUGGUCUCACCCCUAUGGUCCACAAUAUGUCAUUCUGCUCAUGUUCUAGAAUGAGCAUGUCUGUACCCUUUUAGUUUUUAAGUAGUACCCUGGCCAGGGAUUAGACUAUGUUAGUAAAAGUUAAUAAAUCUUACCCUUUGGUUUAAAAAAAAAAAAUAAUAAUAAGAGGGAGAAGAAGAAACGUCACAAGAGGUGUUAGGAAAUAUUUUCUAAUCUCCAACUCAAAAAACAAAUAGCACAUGUUUUAUUUUUAGCUGACAUCCGGAGAGAGACAUAGUCAUAUCAUUCAUCUAAAACCACCCUCACAAACCGACUGCAGCCAACACUUCUGUUCUGCGUGUGCCUAGGCGUGCGAGUGUACAUGCAUAUUCUUAUAUUCGUCUUGUAAAUAAUUGUUGAAGAUGGGUGACGUGACGCUUCAGUUCCUCUGCCUGCCCUGUGGUGAGCAAUGGUGGGUAUUUUCUAGAUUAGGUCACUCCAGAACACACUCACUAAUGACAGUUGGGAAAUUAAGUUUUCUGGAUUAUUCUACAUUGACAUGACACUACAACAUUCAGACGCAUCAGAUCCCAACCAGAUGAACCAGCUGGCAAUGUUGAAUAUGGUCUCUAAUUCUACACAUUCGGUUACAUAGCAUUAGUGAAAUAUUCCAGUGGAAUAUUAAAACAUUUCCUAUGUCAUGUUAAUGAGGACCGAACACAUCUUGGAUACAAUCUCUCAAGCACAGGCUCUCUCUGUAGAGACAGCAAUCUGACGCUAGUGCUUCCCAUUUGGGGAAUUUAGGUCACACCUCUGGGGAACCAUUUACUGUGAUUUAUUUAGGCUAGGUCAUCACAAAAUGUGUCGCUCCUCACGCUCACUGUCUGCACCCUAAAGUAUAUCUCAGUCACUCACAAUCCAGGCAGAACGAUCCAUGAGCCUCCGUAGCAGGAGAUGGGUGCUUGUGUUUCAUGUUAUGUUUGUUAACUAGUGUUGCUACUUUGAUUUUAAAGCACCUUUUGAUUCAAGCACUUUUUUUCUUCACUGUAUCAUAUCAGGACAUUUUUUGAAGGUAGCUACAGUUGAAGUUUGAAGUUUACAUACACCUUAGCCAAAUACAUUUAAACUGAGUUUAUCACAAUUCCUGACAUUUAAUCAUAGUAAAAAUUCCCUGUUUUAGGUCAGUUAGGAUUACCACUUUAUUUUAAGAAUGUGAAAUGGCAAAAUAACAGUAGAGAGUGAUUUAUUUCAGCUUUUAUUUCUUUCAUCACAUUCUCAGUGGGUCAGAAGUUUACAUACACUCAAUUAGUAUUUGGUAGCAUUGCCUUUAAAUUGUUUAACUUGGGUCAAACGUUUCAGGUUGCCUUCCACAAGCUUCCCACAAUAAGUUGGGGGAAUUUUGUCCCAUUCCCCCUAACAGAGCUGGUGUAACUGAGUCAGGUUUGUAGGCCUCCUUGCUCGCACACGCUUUUUCAGUUCUGCCCACAAAUUUUCUAUAGGAUUGAGGUCAGGCCUUUGUGAUGGCCACUUCAAUACCGUGACUUUGUUGUCCUUAAGCCAGUUUGCCACAACUUUGGAAGUAUGCUUGAGGUCAUUGUCCAUUUGGAAGACCUAUUUGCGACCAAGCUUUAACUUCCUGACUGAAGUCUUGAGAUGUUGCUUCAUUAUAUUCACAUAAUUUUCCUAUCUCAUGAUGCCAUCUAUUUUGUGAAGUGCACCAGUCCCUCCUGCAGCAAAGCAAACCCACAAUAUGAUGCUGCCACCCCCGUGCUUCAUUUUUGGGAUGGUGUUCUUCGGCUUGCAAGCCUCCCCCUUUUUCCUCCAAGAUGGUCAUUAUGGCCAAAAAGUUAUAUUUUUGUUUCAUCAGACCAGAGGACAUUUCUCCAAAAAGUAUGAUAUUUGUCCCCAUGUGCAGUUGCAAACCGUAGUCUGGCUUUUUUAUGGCAGUUUUGGAGCUGUGGCUUCUUCCUUGCGGAGCGGCCUUUCAGGUUAUGUCGAUAUAGGACUCAUUUUACUGUGGAUAUAGAGGCCUUUGUACCUGUUUCCUCCAGCAUCUCCACAAGAUCCUUUGUUGUUGUUCUGGGAUUGAUUUGCACUUUUUGCACCAAAGUAUGUUCAUCUCUAGGAGACAGAAGGCGUCUCCUUCCUGAGCAGUAUGACGGCUGCUUGGUCCCAUGGUGUUUACACUUGCAUACUAUUGUUUGUACACAUGAACUUGUUACAUUCAGCCGUUUGGAAAUUGCUCCCAAGGAUGAACCAGACUUGUGGAGGUCUACAAUUAUUUUUCUGAGGUAUUGGCUUAUAUCUUUUGAUUUUCCCAUGAUGUCAAGCAAAGAGGCACUGAGUUUGAAGGUAGGCCUUGAAAUACAUCCACAGGUACACCUCCAAUUGACUCAAAUCAUGUCAAUUAGUCUACCAGAAGCUUCUAAAGCCAUGACAUCAUAUUCUGGAAUUUUCCAAGCUGUUUAAAGGCACAGUCAACUUAGUGUAUGUAAACUUCUGACCCACUGGAAUUGUGAUACAGUGAAUUAUAAGUUAAAUAAUCUGUCUGUAAACAAUUGUUGGAAAAAUUACCUGUGUCACACAAAGUAGAUGUCCUAACCGACUUGCCAAAACUAUAGUUUGUUAACAAGAAAUUUGUGGAGUGGUUGAAAAACGAAUUUUAAUGACUCCAACGUAAGUGUAUGUAAACUUUCGACUUCAAAUGUAUGCUUUGCAGAAACAUGUAUAAAUGACAUAUAGAUAAGUACAGGCUCUCUGGUGUUGGGACUGGCUGUAUAAAUUGCUCUGGGUACAAGCCUUCGAUGACAUAUUUAAUACGUCAUCAAUAAAUCACGUAUCACAGUUUGGUGGCUUUUAUUUGUGUAUAAUUUGGUUCGAGGCAGAUUAUUGACUGUUUUAUAAGGUAGAAAUAAUUUGUUUAUAUAGGUGAGUGUGGGUUAUGGCCUCUGUCUACACUCCAUUAAUGUUGAAUAUGAGUAUUAUGUUAUUAAAAACCAAUAAAAGUGACAAUGUCUAAAACGCAAUUAUUUCUGUGUCGAUGUGCGCACACAUUUACAGGUGUCAGUGCAUGGCCCAUAGAGGGC